AGGUUGGUAUUCCAGCAUGUCGGGCUUGCCAAGGAAUAAGGACAUUGAUGGCGUUUUCUCUUCUAGAGGACUACAAAGCCCCUUCCAGCAUGAUGAAAGCUUCUUGUAUCAGGUAUAUGUGUGCCUGGUGCCUACAGAGUCCAGAAGAGGACUGGAAUUGGAGUUGAAAAUGGUAUGAGUCUCCAUAUGAGUGCUAGGACCUGAACCUGCAUCCUCAGCAAGAACAAGUGCUCUCGACUGCUGAGCCAUCUAUAGCUCCUCUUGUAUCUUUUAGUAUGUUGAUUUUUUUUGUAUCUGCAAUUUUAUUGAAAGUGUCUACCACAUCUAAACUAUUUCUGGUGGAGUCCGCAGGGUCUUUUCUAUUCAGAACAUAUCACUGAGCUAUAAGGAUAAGCGUCUUUCUUUUCUAUUGGUGUCCCUUUCAUAUCUGUUGCCUGUCUUAUGGGUUGAGCUAAGAUUUUAAACACUAUGUUGUAAGCGUGGAGAGGACAGACACCUUUUUUUCACCCCAGAUUGUUUUGAAAAUGCUUUCAGUUUUCCUCACACUAAGUAUAACAUUGGAAUAGAUUUGUCACAUAUAAUCUUUAUUAUUUUGAGUUGUGUUCAACCUGUCCUUAAUCUCUUUCAGGACUUAUUAAUGAAGGGAUGUUGAAGUUUAUCAAAUACCCUUUUCUGUAUCUUUCAAGAUGAUGAUGAUGUAAGUUUUGUCCUUGAGUUUAUUUCUAUAUAAUUGAUUUGCGAAUGUUGAAUGAAUCUCCCCUUACUGAGAUGAAAUUAACCUGUUCAUGGCGUAUGAUCUUGAUUUCUCUCGAAUUCAAUUUGCAAGUAUUUUGUUGAGAACUCUUGCAUCUAUCUGAACCUUACAUUCCUUAGCAAUUACUGCUUCACUGGAAAAAAAAAGCAGAGAGAAAAUUAAAAUGUUUCAUUUAUUUAAAAUAUCA
rnacentral:lncRNA from 1 species